ACUCCUACGGGAGGCAGCAGUGGGGAAUAUUGGACAAUGGGCGCAAGCCUGAUCCAGCCAUGCCGCGUGAGUGAUGAAGGCCCUAGGGUUGUAAAGCUCUUUCACCGGAGAAGAUAAUGACGGUAUCCGGAGAAGAAGCCCCGGCUAACUUCGUGCCAGCAGCCGCGGUAAUACGAAGGGGGCUAGCGUUGUUCGGAAUUACUGGGCGUAAAGCGCACGUAGGCGGAUCGAUCAGUCAGGGGUGAAAUCCCAGGGCUCAACCCUGGAACUGCCUUUGAUACUGUCGAUCUGGAGUAUGGAAGAGGUGAGUGGAAUUCCGAGUGUAGAGGUGAAAUUCGUAGAUAUUCGGAGGAACACCAGUGGCGAAGGCGGCUCACUGGUCCAUUACUGACGCUGAGGUGCGAAAGCGUGGGGAGCAAACAGGAUUAGAAACCCCUGUAGUCC
rnacentral:rRNA from 1 species